AGCGCAGGCGGUGCGGCAAGUCUGAUGUGAAAGCCCGGGGCUCAACCCCGGUACUGCAUUGGAAACUGUCGUACUAGAGUGUCGGAGGGGUAAGCGGAAUUCCUAGUGUAGCGGUGAAAUGCGUAGAUAUUAGGAGGAACACCAGUGGUGAAGGCGGCUUACUGGACGAUAACUGACGCUGAGGCUCGAAAGCGUGGGGAGCAAACA
rnacentral:rRNA from 1 species